rnacentral:rRNA from 1 species
CCUACGGGUGGCAGCAGUGAGGAAUAUUGGUCAAUGGCCGGAAGGCUGAACCAGCCAUGCCGCGUGAAGGUCAGUGCCCUAUGGGCGUUAAACUUCUUUUGUGCGGGAGCAAUAAUGGUCACGUGUGGCCAGACGAGAGUACCGUACGAAUAAGCAUCGGCUAACUCCGUGCAAGCAGCCGCGGUAAUACGGGGGGUGCAAGCGUUAUCCGGAUUGAUUGGGUUUAAAGGGUGCGUAGGCUGGGAGGUAAGUGAGCGGUGAAAUUCCCCGGCUCAACGGGGUGAAGUGCCAUUGAUACUGGCUUGCUGGAAUGCGGAUGCCGUGGGAGGAAUGUGUGGUGUAGCGGUGAAAUGCAUAGAUAUCACACAGAACACCGAUUGCGAAGGCAUCUCACGAAUCCGCGAUUGACGCUGAGGCACGAAAGCGUGGGUAUCAAACAGGAUUAGAUACCCCAGUAGUC